CCUACAUCUUCUGAACGCUUGUUUGCUGUUCUGAUUUGAAAGCUAGUGUAAUUCUAACGCUCUGCUCCUUGCGAUGGUAGGCUCAGAUAUAUCAAUACAACAGAAUCUGGAUCCUAAGGUCGUUGAGGUCAAUGGCAAGCUAUUUGAUUUGAAAUGGUGCCAAGUGUGUCAGUUCUAUCGACCACCUCGCUGUUCGCACUGCAGAUUCUGCAAAGUUUGCAUUGAGAUAUUCUUGACUGAAUGCCCGUGGUGAACAUAAAGAAUGGACGUAAGUAACAGAGGCCCGUCCUUCAAAUCUGCUCAGCUCUCAAUAAGUUCAUGGCUGUUUUGAUGGGUGACCCUCAACUCUACUCUUCUACCUGAUCCCCAUCACCUUUGACCCUCUUGUAAUACAACUACCUGUCAGUAUCAGCCUGGAGGUGCAUUAAUGACACAGCAUCUGAUAUUUCCAAAGAUUCAGAGACCUCUAGGGGCAAAAAACAUCCUUAUCUCGGCCUUGAGUAAUCCCCAUUAAGGGAACAAGCAGCUUCCCACCCUGUCAAGCCCCACUAGAAUUGUAUAUGGUUGAUAAGAUUCAUUCAAAGUCUGGAAUAAGGUCUCAAUCUUUCUUCCUCCCAGGAUUUCAGUGAAUACUCUCAGUGCUCCCUGAAUGGCUAGUAUUUCUUUCCUUAAAUAACGAGAGCAAUUCUCCAUUUUUGGUCCUAUCAAAUUCUUACUAACUUAUAUUGAAACUUCCUUACUUUAUUACUCUAUGCCUGUGUACAACAAGACUUAGACAACAUCCAGACGUGGACUGUUAAAAUAUCAAGUAAAAUUCAUGCCACAGAAGUGUCAGGUAGUGGCAUGUCCUACAAGGGUGAAGCUAGUCAUGCACACUUGACAGUCAAUUACAUUACUGUUGUUGAGUUGCCCAACAAUAUCCUGGAGGUGGGGAGGGGGUUAACAUUAUCAUCAUUCUCAAGGAACUCAACCGGAUCAGUCACACUGAUGCCAUGGUUACAAAAGUAGGUCAGAAGUUGGAUAUCCUCCAGUAAAUGUGUCAUGGUUCCGGUUGGCUGUUCCCCUUUAAUGCUCCUUUCUCCCUGAUUAUGCCCUAGUUUCAGUCAUUAGAUCUCCAAUUGCUGCUAGUUUGCUCGAUUACAGUACACCUGGUUUUCAUCAGAGACUGUGAAAUAAAUACGAUGGCAUCACUAUCACAGGGUGCUAGUUUGUUGGUCUAUUCCCAUGUGAUAACUUUGUUUCUCAACUGCUUAGAACUGUUUGUUCUAAGUUCAGCUCCAGUUUCAAGAUAUUCCAUGAAAACCCCGUCUCUGUGUCAAGACUCCAUAUCAGAUUCCUCCUGUUUGCUGUUCGAUGUUCACGUCUACGCCAGCAUCCCCAACUCAAUCUCAGUGCCUGUGUUCUGCAUUUGGGUUCUGCUCAGUCACUCCGUGCAACAAAAUGAUUCACCUCUUGACAUCCUAAGGCACUUAUACAGUUUACAAAGCACAAGUCAGAAGCAUGAUGGAAUUCUCUCCAUUUGAUGGGAUGAAUGCACUGUCAACAAUUCUCUAGAAGCUCAUCAUCCAGGUCAGAUGGCUUAACCGGUAUCCCAUCAUCCACCUAAACAAGCAGUCCCUCCACCACCAGUGCACUGAGGCUCCCACCAGGCUCCUCCAAAGGCACCUUCCAAACCCACCAGCACAAUCACCAAAGACAUGAAAGCCAGUGCUAGGGAAAACCAUCUGUAUUUUCCCUUUGACUUUCAUACCAUCCUGAUCUGGAAAUAUUACCAGUGUCUACCUUUGCUGCCUGUAAACUCUGGAACUUGCUACCUGACAGCAUUAUGGAAAUUCCUUCACUAACAGGACUGGAGCAGUUCAAGAAUAUGGCUGACCACCACAUCCUCAAUGGCCAUUAUGGAUGGGUAAUAAAUGCUGCCCUUGACAGUGGUAUACAGAUUCAAUGUUCCGCUUGACUUCCUAAGUUCUACUUGUGUGUUUGCUGGAAAAGUCAGAAAUUUUAGACCAUUUUUUGUCAUCUUCUAAUGUAAUCAUAAAAAUAACUGGGUAUUACCUGUGAUAAGCAUUUAUUCCAGUGUAAAUGAUUGAUGUAUAUUAAGAAGAAAGAAAAUAAAGUUGCUCUGACUGCUGGAAGUAGGAACUGCAAAAUGUGCAAGCAAUUUAGCUGCUAAAAACAAAGAUGAUAGUGGUGAUCAUGGGGACUAAUUUCAACCCCUGAUUUUUCCCUAGUGACACCCUUAAAGGAGUACAGGUGUGGGCGUCAAUCUAGAUGCACAAACAGAUGCAGAGGUGAUAGCAGCAGCAUGUCUAUUAAUUAGAAACUACAACCCUUAAAGUAAAAGGCAACUAUUCUGCAUGUGAUGUGUUUUGCUACGAACUGGAUUAUACAGCUUAAAGAAUCAGAUAGAUUGACCUUGUUACAUACCACCUCAUUUUGCUUUUUGCUCAAAGAAAAUGAAGGAAUGAGUAGCAUGAGGUAUAAAAUUGUCGAACUAAUUUACAGAGUAAACAAGGAAAGCGGCUCCCAUGGCACAACAGAUACAAACAUUGAUUAAUUGGAACAGAUGGGGUCUCAGCAAUGAUAUAAGUAUAGUCGAAGUACUUUCACUUGACAGUUUAUCACCUCAUGUAGCUCCUUUAUUUUCUUUAAAUAAAAAAUGUGAAUGGUCUGUUACAUGGUCAGUCUAUCCGAUGGCCUAAGUGUAUGGCCUAGGUGAGUUAUGAUAGCAUUACCCCUUUGUGUUUACAGUAUUAAUUUUGAUACCAUGGUCCAGAAGUCUUCACUUUAUGAAUUAGUAGAAAGAUUUAAUAUAAGUUAAAAAUCCAGCACCUAGAAGUUUUAGUCUAACUUCCUUUUAUUAGUCAGUUGGAUGGGUGUAUGGCAAUGGAUACUUUUGCCUGGAAAUUUGAACAGGAGGAAAAAAUGCAAAAUUUAGAAUUUGCUCAUGGCGAUUAUGAUUGUGAUUAAAUCCAAGGAAAUUUAAGCGGAUUGCUAAAUUGGGCAGGUGGUCUUAUGUUCAUGACCUAAAUCAGCAUGUUUGACAUUUUCCCAGCAUUAGGCAAACAUCUCGGGACAUUUCAAUCCUUGGUGACUCCCAGAUCCUGAGGUUGUUGCUUGUUGAACAGUUGCGAAACAAAACAAGCUGUAUAAUGGGUUUCUUCAAUUCGGUGGCACUCAGGAAGUCACUGUUGCCACUGAGGGACUUCACAAGGCAUCUCACUGAGACUGUCCACACACAUUCCACUGUGAGCAGUCUGCACUCAAAUGAAUUGUUCUUGGUCUGUAGGCGAGAGGUAGAAUAGGAGGAGAGUUGAUGAGCAGUUAGCGAGAAACGUUUUGGGAAUAAAAUAGGAUUAGCGUAAAUGGAUGGUUGGUUGUUGUAGUAGAUUCUGUAGGCUGAAAGGCUGUUGCCAUGCUGUAUUUGGGAAAACCUUUCUUUAGGGAAGUCACGAGCCGCCACGAGGAUUUACUCAUAUUUUGGUCAUGCAGUGGUCAUUUUUAACAUGCUGGCUAAGCAUAAAAUAGAUGUGAAGUCAUAGGUUCUUGUUAUAAAAAUUGCAGAAUUUCCACUCUCACUGAACUUAGUGAAAACACAAGAGGUAAACAGGAAUUGGCCAUUUGGCUUUUAAACCUGCUUCACUAUUCAAUAAGAUCAUCAACUCAUUAAGUAAAUAUUGAACUAAAAUAAGUCUUAACUCAGUAGUUAAGAAGCUAUAAUAUUAUUUUAAAAGCACCAGCUACAUGAGGAUUGGAGCUUGAAGAGCUGAUGAUAUUUUGCAGAGCAUAACAUUGCAAAGUUGCAGCAGUAACACUGAACUGAGCCACACAGGCUUCACUUAACACUGUUUCUGGAUUCUUCAAAGCACCCAGAUGCUGUUGUACGUUUUCACGGAUAGGGCUUAGCUGUACUUGAAAAAGCAUGAGCUCACGAGAGAUAGCUAGCGUGCCUUUGUGGUUGUUGGGGUACGGGGGUGGGUGGCAUCAUCCCUUACAAACCUGACUGAGCUUUGUGAGAAAAUAGUGAAAAUGAGUGAUGAGAGUAGGACAACGGAUGUUGUCUCCAUGAACCUUCGGAAGCCAUUUGACAGGGUCCCUCAUGGUAGGCUGAACACAAAGUUUAAACUGCAUGGGAUCUUUGGUGACUUGAUUCAAAACUUGCUCAGCCACAGGAGACAGAGGGUACUGGUGGAGGGCAGUUAUUCUGGAAGGAGGUCCGUGGCCAGAGGUAUUCUGCAGGAAUCAGCGCUGCGACCUUUGUUGUUGGUGAAGUGCAUAAAUGAACUGGAUAAAAAAUGCAGUCAGCACAAAAAUUGGUGGAUUUGUGAAUAAUGAGGAAAAAAGUCAAACAAAGCAGCAUUUUUAUUUCUCUUUACUCUUUUGUACAGUCAGAGUCGCUUUCCCAGGACAGAAAUGUCAAAUACCAGAGGUCACAGGUAUAAAGGCAGAGGAGGAAGUAAAGGAGAUUUAAAGGCUUUUUUUUACACAAUGAAUAAUAGAAGCUUAGAAUGCACUGCCAGUGGAAGUGGUGGAAGCAGAUGCAAUAGCAGCAUUUGAGAGGCACAAGAACAGGCAGGAAAGAAAGGUAUACACAGUAUACUCAGAGGCCACACUCCUGUACCUAAUAAAAUGGCCACUGAGUGUAUGUUCAUGGUCUUCUGCUGCGGCAGCCCAUCCCCUUCGGGGUUCAACGUGCUGUCCAUUCAGAGAUGCUCUACUGCACACCACUGUUGUAAUGUGUUGUUAUUUGAGUUACUGUUGCCUUCCUGUCACCUUGAACCAGCCGGGCCAUUCUCCUCUGACCUCUCUCAUUAACAAGGAUUUUCACCGAUAGACCUGCCACUCUCUGGAUGGUUUUUCUUGCACCAUUCUCUAUCAACUCUGGAGACUGUCGUGUGUGAAAAUCCCAGGAAAUCACAAGUUUCUGAGAUACUCAUCCACCUUAUCUGGCACCAACAAUCAUUCCAUGGUCAAAGUCACUUAGAUCACAUUUCUUCCCCCAUUCUGAUGUUUGAUCUGAACAACAACUGAACCUCUUGACCUUGUCUCGAACAAGAGAAAAUCUGCAGAUGCUGGAAAUCCGGGCAACACACACAAAGCACUGGAGGAGCUCAGUGGGCCAGGCAGCAUCUGCAGAAAAAUGUACAGUCCACAUUUCAGGCUGAACCCUUCAGCAGGACCAAAACAUCAACUAUACUUUUUCCCCACAGAUGCUUCCUGGCCUGCUGAGUUCCUCCAGCAUUUUGUGUGUUGCUCUUGACCAUGUCUGCAUGUUUAUAUGCAUUGAAACGCUGCCACGUUAUUGACUGAUAUGCAUUAGUGAGCGGGUGUUUAGGUGUAACUCAAAGUGUCCACUGGGUGUAGAGCAUGUGCAGGCAGGUGGAGUUAGCUUAAUGUGGCAUCAUGGUUGAAAGGACUGUAGGCACUGGUCCUGUUUUACCCUAUUCUAUGUCUGGAAUGGGUCAGAAGCACUCCCUCAACCUUGAGAUAUUAAAGUACAGUAUGAGGAACAUUUGAUGGCUCUGGGCCUAUAUUCACUGGAAUUUAGAAGAACGAGGGAGAUCUCAUUGAAACCUAUCAAACAUCGAAAGGCCUAGAUAGGGUGGUUGUGGAGGGGAUGUUUCUUAUAGAGGGGGAGUCUGGGAUCAGAGGGAUGAGAGGAAUUUCUUUAGCCAGAGGGUGGUGUAUCUAUGGAAUUCAUUGCCACUGACAGCUAUGGAGGUCAAGUCAUCAGGUAUAUUUAAAGCAGCGGUUGAUCAGUUCUUGAUCAGUAAGGGUGUCAAAGGUUACAGGGAGAAGGCAGGAGAGUGCGGUUGAGGGAGAUAAUAAAUCAGCCAUGACAGAAUAGCAGAGCAGACUUGAUGGGCCAAAUGGCCUAAUUCUGCUCCUGUGUCUUAUGGUCUUAAGCAGUGAGUUAAUUCUACUUGGAACAGAGGUCAUAUUGAAAAUAUUUCUUCAACUGAUUGGAUAACUAGUUUGUUAUAGAUGAUCAGUUGCAGAUCGUUCUACCUUAACAUGGCAUAUAAAGAGCUGCAGAAUUAACAAAGUUGAAAGAUGCUUUUUCCUAUUCCAGGAUUUUGACCACCAUUGUAAAUGGGUGAAUAACUGUGUUGGGAGAAGGAAUUAUCGCUUCUUUUUCUUCUUUGUCUUCUUUCUUGCUGUUUACAUGCUGACUGUUCUGGGGUCCUGUAUCAUGUACCUUAUUAUAAACUACCAUGAGCCGAUGACAGUGGAGAAGACUGCUACCUGUAUUGUUCUGGUUCCGAUUGUUGUUUUUCUCUUCCCCGUGCUUUUCCUCUUUGGAUCUCAUACGGAAUUCAUUGCACUGGGAGUGACCAUGUCAGAACAGUACAGUAAAGCAGAAGAUAGAAUGAACAUCUUCACACGUGGUUGGAAGAGAAACUUUUUCAUUGCCCUUUGUGGUCGUGUGGUGCCAAGGUACCUUGGUUCCCUCAAGAAACUGAAAACAAAAAGAACUUCAAGGAAGAGAGAUUUGCAGCAAGUUAAUUGAAACAAACAAACAGAUAUUCUGUAAAAAUAAUGCAGACUCACAUUUUGCACAUUACAUUCAAACAUAUUCAUAAUAAUUCACAAGUAUAAGGCCUCACAUAAUUGUCAAUGAUCAAGCUAGCAAACUGGUUGUAUAGAAAUUUUAGAUAAUUGAUUAAUUAGAUGCUGGCCCCAAUGGUUUCUCCAUCUAGUAAGGAUGGCUAUUUUUGUGUUUCUAAAACUGUAUCUUUUCAAAUUGAAUACAACAGCUUUCCCACUGUUUCAAACCAUUUUUGUGUAAUGUUGAUAAAAUAUGCAAAAUAAAUUACACAAAAAAAUUAGAGGAGAGAAGAAUGUCAUUCAUGAGAUGAUAAAAACAUAAUUAUUAACUCAAUUUUAACAAAAUUAUCCAAGAUGCUGCUUUAUCUAGCAAAGGAAAUGACCGUCAAGCCAAAUAAUAUGAUGUCCAAACACAACCAAGAUCUUUGUCAUAGAGACAGGUUAUAAGAAGGAAAAAGAGGUGGAAAUGCCCAGAGAACUUGGGAAGAAAUUCCAGAUCUUGUAAUCUUAGAAAGUAAAGAAAGGUUUUGACACAUUGACCUUCAUUAAUCAGAGUACUGACUACCGGAUUUGGAUUUUUUUCUGGAGUUGUGUAAGGCAUUGAUGAGGCAGUAUUCAGAGUAUUUGGUGUAGUUUUGGUCAUCAACUUUUAGAAAAAAUAUCAAGAAGAUUGAAAGAAUACAGAGAAAAUUUACAAGGAUGUUGCUGGGACUUUAGAACUUGAGCUAUAGAAAAAGGAUGAAUAGGUAAGGAACAUAUUCUCUAGAGUGUGGAAGAUUGAGGGGAGAUUUGAUAGAGGUAUACAAAAUUAUGAAGGAUAUAAAUAGGGUAAAUGCAAGUUGGCUCUUUCCACUGAAAUCUUGUGAAACGGGAACUAGAGGUCAUAGGAUAAGGGUGAAAGAUGAAAUAUUUAAGGGAGUCUGAGGGGGAUCUUCUUAACUCUUAACUCAGAGGAUGGUUUGAAUGUGGAAUGAGAUGGCAGUGGUGGAUGUGGGUUUGAUUGUAAACUUUAAGAAAAGUUUAGAUAAAUAGAUGGAUUUGAAAGCUUUGGAGGGUUAUGGUCUUGGUGUGGUUUGACGGGAGUAGGCAGAAUAACAAUUUGGCAUUGACUCGUACUGUAGUAUUCAAGGAAUCUAAGACAUGGAGGCACAUGAUAUACUGAAGAUAUUGCAGAGAAAGAUUUCCUUGUUUGUGGCUUUGCAAUGUGAGAGAGAUGUUAUCAUAGUUCUCCAGGACAGGAGCUUCCUUUAGCCAUUGGUCCAAAAUGUUGAAAAGAAAAGAAAUGUUUUGCCUAAAAGGAAAAAUAAAAUUCCAUUUUCAAGAUCAGAAAGGCAAGAAACUUCCAUUUCAGAUUUCAGAAGUCAGUAAAGCUGGGUCCGUCAAAUAGUUGCAAAAAUUAUUGAAGACACAAGUGACUACAGAUGGUGGAAUCUGGAGCAAAUCCUCCAGCUGAACGUUCAUUUUUCCAACAGAUUAUUUGUUGCCAAUGGUGUUAGUUUCAAUGAACAGGCAAUAUCAUGAAUUGACCUUUAAAACAUUGAGGCAACAUUCUUUUU